rnacentral:lncRNA from 1 species
AGGUCCUAACAAUCUAAUAGGAUUAUAGAGAAUUUAUAAUUAAACAUUAACAAUCAUAAUCAAAUAUUAAGCAAACUCAAUAAAAUUUUAUUAAAGUUAUAAAAGAAAUAUAAGAAAAUCCUAAAGAAAUAUAAAAGAAUAUUAAAGAAAACUUAAUCAAAUGCUAACAAAAAUCUAAUAAAACCUUGAAUUCUAACCAACCCCUAAUCUUAAUCCAACCUUAAUCAAAUCCUAGACAAAACCUAAAUCUUAAACCAAAUCCUAAUCAAACCUUAAUCAAAUCCUAAACUUUAAAUCAAUCCCUAAUCAAAUCCUAAACCAAACCCUAAUCCAAAUCCUAAAUCCUAAAUCAAAUCCUAAACCAAAUCUUAAAUCCUAAUCCAAACCCUAAUCCAAAUCUUAAACCCUAAAUCAAAUUCUAAACCAAACUCUAAAUCUUAAAUCCUAAACCAAAUCCUAACCAAACCCUAACCCUAAACCCUAA